ACCUCGCUAGCUUAGUUGGUAGAGCAACAGGGCGUAAACCUGAGAGACCUGGGCUCGUAUCCCAGUCGAGGUU